rnacentral:lncRNA from 1 species
UGCUUCUGCGAGAAAACAACUGCAUCUGCGCACCCGAACUUGCGGAGGAAAUAUCACACCUGUGACCAAUGCCCGCCCCUGCGCUUCCUUCCAUCGCAGAAGCGACUUCGCUUCAGCGGAGACCUUUCCGCUUCUGCGAUCCCAUCGUGCCCCCACUCACUACUACAUUUGGACUCCUAAGGCCGCACCUACGGCGUUGCUCCUGCGACCAUACCCAUCUGAUGUGCAAUCACACCAGAAGCAACAAUGCUUCAGAAUUCUUAAGGUCUAAUAUUGAUCCGAAUUCAAUUUGAAUCACACCUGGGCCCCCAAAGGGUCAAUCCAAAUAUACCAACAAGUUCUAAAAUACAUAAUGAACUUACUCGAGGCCGAAAAUCAUAUCAAACAACAUCGAUUCUAUGAAUCGCAAUCCAAUUAAGCCUAUUGAAACUAUGAACUUCCAAAUUCAAAAACUAAUGUCGAACCGCACCAUAUCAACA